rnacentral:lncRNA from 1 species
GAAUUAGAAUUGGUUCCUCAAAACCAGGAGGGACCAAUACAAGAUGGGUGAUGCAACACAGGAGCACCAUGAAGCAAGCCAUUUGCCCUGCUUCUUGAGCCAGAGUUGUGGCACUCGGCCUGGGCACAGACCUGACUACCUCCACAAUGAAGAGGCACUUGAGCACAAUGUCUGCAAACUCAACCACCUUCUCAUUGCUACGCUUCCUGAAUCCUGAAUAAAGGAGAAAAACAAGUGGUGACACAAUCCUACAGGAUUGCUCGCUCUGAAGGCUAAGAUAAACUUGGCCCACGUUACAUCAUCCAUCCUUUGGGUAUACUGCAGAAAUCACUCCAGCUCUCUUCAGCACCCUGGGCAGCACGUGGACUUCUAAUUGUAGGUUGCUGGCUCCUGACACUGCCAUGCCUUAAUUCUGCCAGCCCCAUGAGAAGAUUAUGCUCGUGAGAUGCUGACCCCUUCCUGCUGGUGCCCUGCCUGAAGAUCUCCUGGCCCUCGUGUUCACUGCCAGGCCCACGGAGUUCGAGAGGCUCUGGGAGGUGUCUUGGACAAGCCCAUUGUUUGGGCUGUGACACCAUGCUGCCAAUUAAUCUUAAUUAAUUAAUAAAUCACAGCUAGCAUUUACUGUUGUGAGUAAGCUCAACUGUUCACAAUAGGUAGUUGCACUGCCAGCCCCAAUAAUCAGGUGGCAGAUUCACCAAAAUCAAGAGCUCAUUGUAAGGAUGAUGAUAUUUUAUGGGAAAGAUGAGUAAUGAAUGGGUGUUUGUGUGCAUUUCUGCUUUGUCUCCUUGACUGUUUAAAUUUCCUUACUAAUUUUUGUUUUCAAAUUGCAGGCCCCCAAGAAUCAUGUUUACAAGAAAUGAAAUAUUAAUAUAUUUAGAAGAGAAAAAUCGAUUUGAUCUGUACAAACUAUCGUGACUGCAAGGGCUGGGUUUUUUCAGAAUACCAAGCAAUGCCAUGAAAGUCCCUCCAAAGUUGGAAGCAGCCAUAGUGAGCUGGCACACGAGUGGUCCUGAGCUCGCACACAGCACCGCGAGGGAUCUGUUCCCCAGCAGAAGAAGCGAAGGGAGGAGGACAAAGAUUACAGUGUUAAGAUCAUGCUGUUGCUAUGCUGCCUACCCGCCCGUCAGUGCAUUUCUUCGCCAUCCUCCCACGGACACUUGUCUGACUCCUGCCCCUGCAGCUGGUGCGUGCCAGGCGUCUCCUGACCUGGGCUGGCUUUCUCCUGCAGUUCUCCUGCAGGACUCUCGCUCGCCUCUCCCUGCUCCUGUUUUUCACAGUUGCUCCUAAGUGGAAGGCAAAGCCAAUAAUGGCCAGGCUGGAGUGAGCUUUCAAACCCACAACACUGGAGCAGGUUCAGAAGGAAACAAAUGGAGGCUGCUCGGGCAUCGUUUAGGAAAUGGCUGGAGACAGAUGGGCAUUUGGAGCUGAAACAAGAGCGGGAGAACCACGGACUUUGGGGCAGCAGGAGGGUUUUGUGCUGCUGCAGGGCAGCUGGCAGUGCUGGCUGGGGGUGGAAGGGGUGCUAGCAGCAGCCCCAGCUGCCCAGGGGAAGGCUGCCCUCCUCCUCAUCAUCAUCAUAACCUGGGCAUUGUGAUGGCAGGGGGUGGCAAUUCACGGUGACAGCUUUAUGAGCAGAUCUGUGCGCUGCAGUGAUGAGGCUUAGCUCCUGAAGAGCUCCAAAUGGGACUUUUAGAGGCUCUUAAAGCAGCUGUGCGGUGUUUUCUGUUUCACAAGACCAGGUCCACGCCAAUUUCCAGUGUGAGGACCUGCAUGUGAGUACGCCUGUGUGUGUGCCAGUGCUGGAAGGGCUGCAGUGCACUAAUGAUGAGGUUAUUAAGUGGAGACUGCUAGGGCUGAGGUGGCAGUGGAAGGUCGGGGCUGUGUCCUAGCAGUUAUCUCACCACGGGAGGUGCUCGGCUUCCUGUAUCCCAGGGCAAGUCAGCAGAAAGGCGAGCGUGUGUAUUUAGCUACAAUUUCCAGGUGGAUGCUGAAGAAUACAGACAAUAAAUAAGAUGCUGGAGACCUCCA